GACGAACGCUGGCGGCGUGCUUAACACAUGCAAGUCGAACGGAAAGGCCCUGCUUGCAGGGUGCUCGAGAGGCGAACGGGUGAGUAACACGUGGGUGAUCUGCCCCUUACUUUGGGAUAAGCCUGGGAAACUGGGUCUAAUACUGGAUAGGACCAUGCUGUAGGUGGUGUGGUGGAAAGAUUAGUUUCGGUAAGGGAUGAGCUCGCGGCCUAUCAGCUUGUUGGUGGGGUAAUGGCCUACCAAGGCGUCGACGGGUAGCCGGCCUGAGAGGGUGGACGGCCACAUUGGGACUGAGAUACGGCCCAGACUCCUACGGGAGGCAGCAGUGGGGAAUAUUGCACAAUGGGCGCAAGCCUGAUGCAGCGACGCCGCGUGGGGGAUGACGGCCUUCGGGUUGUAAACUCCUUUCAGCCAUGACGAAGCCCUUGUGGUGACGGUAGUGGUAGAAGAAGCACCGGCUAACUACGUG
rnacentral:rRNA from 1 species